rnacentral:lncRNA from 1 species
CAGACUGGUUCUAAUGCCUACGUUCCUGAGGGCCCCUGGGUGUCAUACGUCACAGGACUGAACUCACUGCCACCUUUGCACUGCUUUGCUGAUGGCGUCAUCGAGGGAGACUGCGCAUUGCUGCUACUCAUGGACUUCUGUUGCUUCCCCGUGCCUGUCUUCCAUCGCUUUGGCAAAGACAUGGAGCUGGCUCUUGCAGACUGGUUCGAAUGCCUACGUUCCUGAGGUCCCGGGGCAUCACUCAUCGUAUGGCCGAACUUAUUGGCACCUUUGCACUCCUUCGCUGAUUGCGUCAUCCAGGGAGACGGGACGCUGCUACCACGUUUGCAGAUGGCUCCCAGCGUGUUCUGGCGGGUGGCGCGCUGCAGAAG